rnacentral:rRNA from 1 species
GCCGCGUGGGUGAUGAAGGUCUUCGGAUUGUAAAGCCCUGUUUUCUAGGACGAUAAUGACGGUACUAGAGGAGGAAGCCACGGCUAACUACGUGCCAGCAGCCGCGGUAAUACGUAGGUGGCGAGCGUUGUCCGGAUUUACUGGGCGUAAAGGGUGCGUAGGCGGAUGUUUAAGUGGGAUGUGAAAUCCCCGGGCUUAACCUGGGGGCUGCAUUCCAAACUGGAUAUCUAGAGUGCAGGAGAGGAAAGCGGAAUUCCUAGUGUAGCGGUGAAAUGCGUAGAGAUUAGGAAGAACACCAGUGGCGAAGGCGGCUUUCUGGACUGUAACUGACGCUGAGGCACGAAAGCGUGGGUAGCAAACAGGAUUAGAUACCCUGGUAGUCCACGCCGUAAACGAUGGAUACUAGGUGUAGGGGGUAUCAACUCCCCCUGUGCCGCAGUUAACACAAUAAGUAUCCCGCCUGGGGAGUACGGUCGCAAGAUUAAAACUCAAAGGAAUUGACGGGGGCCCGCACAAGCAGCGGAGCAUGUGGUUUAAUUCGAAGCAACGCGAAGAACCUUACCUGGACUUGACAUCCCUUGCAUAGCCUAGAGAUAGGUGAAGCCCUUCGGGGCAAGGAGACAGGUGGUGCAUGGUU